rnacentral:rRNA from 1 species
AGAGAAUAGAUACCCGGGUAGUCCACGCCCUAAACGAUGUCAACUAGGUGUUGGGGGAGCAAUCUCUCAGUACCGCAGCUAAACGCGUGAAGUUGACCGCCUGGGGAGUACGGUCGCAAGAUUAAAACUCAAAGGAAUUGACGGGGACCCGCACAAGCGGUGGAUGAUGUGGAUUAAUUCGAUGCAACGCGAACAACCUUACCUACCCUUGACAUGUCUGGAAUCCUGCUGAAAGGCGGGAGUGCCCGAAAGGGAACCGGAACACAGGUGCUGCAUGGCUGUCGUCAGCUCGUGUCGUGAGAUGCUGGGUUAAGUCCCGCAACGAGCGCAACCCUUGUCCUUAGUUGCUACGCAAGGGCACUCUAAGGAGACUGCCGGUGACAAACCGGAGGAAGGUGGGGAUGACGUCAAGUCCUCAUGGCCCUUAUGGGUAGGGCUUCACACGUCAUACAAUGGUCGGUACAGAGGGUAGCCAACCCGCGAGGGGAGCCAAUCCCAGAAAGCCGAUCGUAGUCCGGAUCGCAGUCUGCAACUCG